rnacentral:rRNA from 1 species
UACAGAGGUCUCAAGCGUUGUUCGGAUUCAUUGGGCGUAAAGGGCGCGUAGGCGGCGGGGUAAGUCGGGUGUGAAAUCUCAGGGCUCAACCCUGAAACUGCAUUCGAUACUGCCGUGCUUGAGGACUGGAGAGGAGACUGGAAUUUACGGUGUAGCGGUGAAAUGCGUAGAUAUCGUAAGGAAGACCAGUGGCGAAGGCGGGUCUCUGGACAGUUCCUGACGCUGAGGCACGAAGGCCAGGGGAGCAAACGGG